GUACCUAUGUACUGUAUAUUGCAAUAAGAUAUUACCAGUAAAUAUAACUCAAAUUACACCGUGUUUAGUCCCAUUUUAAUCAGAACAAUGUUACAAAUAUGUUGGUGAAAGUUAUACGUAAAAAAAGUCAAUAAUAGGAAAGUUUUACACAUUCAUGCGUAGUGUUCCGAAUGUUUAUCAUAUGUCGAUGGGUCUUUCCCUCUCUUUUAGGCUCCCUCCCUUUAUUCCUGGUGGUGAGGAUGAUUUCUUCGCGUGUCGCUUAUUUUCCGGGUGGGGGCACGAAACAGAAAUCAUUUCUGCGUAAAACAUCGUAACGAUUUUACAUAACAUCAAAAGAACAGAAUAGGAAAAACAAAAGAAAAGAAUGGAACCACUCCGUGGAAAUGGAAAGAAUAUUCUUUUGCAUGUUAGAUACUUUUCGAAAAGAAGAACCGUUCCCAAUUAAGGUGCUGGGAUGAACAGGCGACAGAGGAGGCGGCUGGCGUCCGCGUUGCGGCGGGCGGCAAAUUAGGUGCCGCGGCCACCCCCUGAUCGCCGCCAUCCACUGGGACGGGGCGGUCGAUAGGGACGGGGACGGGGCAUCCCCGUCAUCCCGUAUAUACAUUCUAAAUAUUUUUCAAUAAAUUCAUAUAACUAA